rnacentral:RNase_P_RNA from 2 species
CGAGUUGGUCGGGCGGCCGCGGAGAAAUUCGAGGAAAGUCCGGACUUCACAGAGCAGGGUGAUUGCUAACGGCAAUCCGAGGUGACUCGCGGGACAGUGCCACAGAAAUCAGACCGCCAGAAAUGGUAAGGGUGAAACGGUGCGGUAAGAGCGCACCAGCAUCCCGGGUGACCGGGAUGGCUAGGCAAACCCCACCCGAAGCAAGGCCAAGAGGUCGCUACGGCGACUGCGCAGGCGGGUUGCUCGCCCAUGCCUGCGGGUAGGCCGCUUGAGGCACCCGGCGACGGUGUGUCCAGAUGGAUGGUCGCCGCUGCACCACCGGUGCAGAACAGAAUCCGGCUUACAGACCAACUCGUUCG